GACGAACGCUGGCGGCGUGCCUAAUACAUGCAAGUAGAACGCUGAAGGAGGAGCUUGCUUCUCUGGAUGAGUUGCGAACGGGUGAGUAACGCGUAGGUAACCUGCCUGGUAGCGGGGGAUAACUAUUGGAAACGAUAGCUAAUACCGCAUAAGAGUAGAUGUUGCAUGACAUUUGCUUAAAAGGUGCAAUUGCAUCGCUACCAGAUGGACCUGCGUUGUAUUAGCUAGUUGGUGAGGUAACGGCUCACCAAGGCAACGAUACAUAGCCGACCUGAGAGGGUGAUCGGCCACACUGGGAGAGAGACACGGCCCAGACUCCUACGGGAGGCAGCAGUAGGGAAUCUUCGGCAAUGGACGGAAGUCUGACCGAGCAACGCCGCGUGAGUGAAGAAGGUUAUCGGAUCGUAAAGCUCUGUUGUAAGAGAAGAAAGAGUGUGAGAGUGGAAAGUUCACACUGUGACGGUAUCUUACCAGAAAGGGACGGCUAACUACGUG
rnacentral:rRNA from 1 species